rnacentral:misc_RNA from 1 species
GAUGAAGAACGUAGCGAAAUGCGAUAAGUAAUGUGAAUUGCAGAAUUCAGUGAACCAUCGAAUCUUUGAACGCACAUUGCGCCCGCUAGUAUUCUGGCGGGCAUGCCUGUCCGAGCGUCAUUUCAACCCUCAAGCCCCCGGGCUUGGUGUUGGGGAUCGGCGAGCCUCCGCGCCCGCCGUCCCCUAAAUCUAGUGGCGGUCUCGCUGUAGCUUCCUCUGCGUAGUAGCACACCUCGCACUGGGAAACAGCGCGGCCACGCCGUUAAACCCCCAACUUCUGAACGUUUGACCUCGGAUCAGGUAGGAAUACCCGCUGAACUUAAGCAUAUCAAUAAGCGGAGGA